rnacentral:rRNA from 1 species
CAGCCGCCGCGGGAAUACAGAGGGUGCGAGCGUUAAUCGGAUUUACUGGGCGUAAUGCGUGCGUAGGCGGCUUUUUAAGUCGGAUGUGAAAUCCCUGAGCUUAACUUAGGAAUUGCAUUCGAUACUGGGAAGCUAGAGUAUGGGAGAGGAUGGUAGAAUUCCAGGUGUAGCGGUGAAAUGCGUAGAGAUCUGGAGGAAUACCGAUGGCGAAGGCAGCCAUCUGGCCUAAUACUGACGCUGAGGUACGAAAGCAUGGGGAGCAAACAGGAUUAGAUACCCCCGUAGUCCCUGUCUCUUAUAC